GUUCAUGGCAAUGUUGUCUGAUCCGAAUUCAUAUAUAGAUUAUGCCUCAAAGAUCUUUUGAAGCUUCCAUUUCUAGGGUUUCCUUCUUUUGGAUCUUUGAAACAAAGAAUGCUUCUGGAUUUUGUUGCUAAUGAUUUAUGUGAAUCCGGAUCAGGCUUCAUUACCAUCAAU
rnacentral:pre_miRNA from 1 species